rnacentral:rRNA from 1 species
UACGGAGGGUGCAAGCGUUAUCCGGAUUCACUGGGUUUAAAGGGUGUGUAGGCGGACAGUUAAGUCAGCGGUGAAAUCUCCGGGCUCAACCCGGAAACUGCCAUUGAUACUAUCUGUCUUGAAUAUUGUUGAGGUGGGCGGAAUAUGUCGUGUAGCGGUGAAAUGCUUAGAUAUGACAUAGAACACCGAUUGCGAAGGCAGCUCACUAAACAAUGAUUGACGCUGAGGCACGAAAGCGUGGGAUCAAACAGG